ACAUAUAGAAAUUAGUAAAUGGAUGCAACAAAAGUAUUUGGGGAAUAUUAAUUUAAAUAUAUUUCCUUUUAUGAGAGCCUCUGACUUAAAGCAUCCCACACACAAAAAAAAAAUGGUUAGCUAAAUUCUAACCAGCCCUUUGUAAAACCAUACAGGGGUAAGUUAAAAAUUAACAACAGUACUCAGAGUUUGAUUGUUUAGAUAAGUGUAUUCAGACUUUGCUUUUUCCAUUUGUCCUUUGACAUUUCCUUGUUCUUUAGCAUGGAAAUAGAAAAUCCCAACAAAUCCCUUUACAACCCAUUAAUUGAUUCAUAAAAUUUUUGUGAGAGGCAUUAGUGAAAUUAUACAAAAGAGGUUUGGAUUUAUCUGCCCAUUUUAAUUGUCCACAUUGUUCUUGUUUGCUUUAUUCCUCUGAGCAAUAGGCAUUAGCUCAGGACAAUAACUGGAACCAUUUGACUACUGUUACUGAUAGACUAAAACCACUUACCAUUUCAUAAAAAUUUUAAGGAAAUUUUAGGAGUGAUACUAACUUUCCUUUAUAUUCUUGUUUCUUGAGAAAAGUUACUGUCCACUUGGAAGAUUUAGUCAUCUUUGGAUGCUUUCCAUAGAAAGUUUGUUUUCCUCUGCAUAUGAAUGAAGAAUGAAGCAGCAUUAUGAAUAAGGCCAAAACUCUCCACCUGACCAGCUGCUUAUCCAGGGCAGAUGUGCUGGAAAAGUCUUUAAGAGAAGUAACCAGAAAUGGCUCAAAGAGACACAGUGAGAAGCCCAUAAUGGAAUUUUCACCUUCAAAGGCCUCUGCACAAGGACACCCAAUAUGGUCACCCUCCACUCUCCUCCUCAUACAUGUUUUCACAGAUUAUCUCAAGCUGCAGCUGGGAUAAAGGAGACAAGAUCCACUGAUUUCUCUUAUCGGCCAGGCUGCAGCAGACAGAGGGAAAGGUGACGUACGCUAAUUAAUGAAGCCCAGCAAGAAAACAGCAACAAACACUGACAAGGAAACCAUCUGGCUAAACUUUAAAAUACAAGCAGAAGCACCUAAAAUAAAUGUUGAAAUAAAGCUUUUCAUAAAUUAUUUGGCAAAUUAUAUUUGGUAUCUAUGGCCAGUACUGCUUUUAUACAGCAGCAGGUAGAGUUCUAAUAUGUGGGGAGCCUCUAAAUGCUGUCCUCUCAGCCGUCUGACUCUAGUCACCUCUGGCCCUGCCCUGCCCUGCCCAGCCACCUAUAAUAGAAACAAACUGGUCUCCCAGCACCCAGGCUUUGGAGGAAAUAGAGCUUGCAAAGGGCUGCUCUAUGGAGAGCAUUCUUUUGUCUAGUUCUUACAAAAUGAGGGGGAAAAACCCAUAGCAUUUCUGCUCUGAAGGUACUAAGUGCAAAGGAGGACCUAGAAUGAGGGUUUUCUGCUUUUCCUAAUGAGAAAAUGCCUAUAACCCAUUGCUUCAUUCAGUGUCAGUCAUAGGAAGCUGGUUGACUGUACAUUAAUAGAUUAGCCCACCCAGCCACUGACAGAUGCUCAAAAGUGUUUGCUAAAUACUGCAGUGCUGGAAGAUUAGAAAAGUUGUCUACGGUCCUUCCCUUAAAGAAAUUACAUUCACGUAUUUGAGGAGUCACAUGUUCAUACAUGAUUAUUUUUACUGUGUUUUUGAUUUUUCUAGGGAAAUGGUUAAACUGAAGUGUGCUGUCAUGAGAUUGUGAAUGGUAAAAUUUGGUGUUGGUUACUGAACUUUUGAGUUCUCAUUUUAACCGUCCCAGAAGUUGCAAAUGCAGGUGCUUUUAGAGACCAGAAAAAUAAUAUAAGUAAAGUGGCCUCUACUCAGCUCCAACUGAUUGUUGCCUUAUUGCCUUAUGGUAAUGAGGCCCCGUGUUGCCAGAUGGUUU